rnacentral:rRNA from 1 species
GAUGAACGCUAGCGGCAGGCUUAACACAUGCAAGUCGAGGGGUAGAGUUAGCUUGCCAACUUGAGACCGGCGCACGGGUGCGUAACGCGUAUGCAAUCUACCUUUUACAGAGGGAUAGCCCAGAGAAAUUUGGAUUAAUACCUCAUAGUAUCUUUGCCUGGCAUCAGGUGAUUAUUAAAGUUCCAACGGUAAAAGAUGAGCAUGCGUCCUAUUAGCUAGAUGGUAAGGUAACGGCUUACCAUGGCAACGAUAGGUAGGGGUCCUGAGAGGGAGAUCCCCCACACUGGUACUGAGACACGGACCAGACUCCUACGGGAGGCAGCAGUGAGGAAUAUUGGACAAUGGGCGCAAGCCUGAUCCAGCCAUGCCGCGUGCAGGAAGAAGCAUCUAUGGUGUGUAAACUGCUUUUGUACGGGAAGAAACACUCCCUCGUGAGGGAGCUUGACGGUACCGUAAGAAUAAGGAUCGGCUAACUCCGUGCCAGCAGCCGCAGUAAGAC